rnacentral:rRNA from 1 species
GGAAUCUUAGACAAUGGGCGCAAGCCUGAUCUAGCCAUGCCGCGUGAGUGAUGAAGGCCCUAGGGUCGUAAAGCUCUUUCGCCAGGGAUGAUAAUGACAGUACCUGGUAAAGAAACCCCGGCUAACUCCGUUCCAGCAGCCGCGGUAAUACGGAGGGGGUUAGCGUUGUUCGGAAUUACUGGGCGUAAAGCGCGCGUAGGCGGAUCAGAAAGUUGGGGGUGAAAUCCCAGGUCUCAACCCAGGAACUGCCUCCAAAACUCCUGGUCUUGAGGUCGAGAGAGGUGAGUGGAACUCCGAGUGUAGAGGUGAAAUUCGUAGAUAUUCGGAAGAACACCAGUGGCGAAGGCGGCUCGCUGGCUCGAUACUGACGCUGAGGUGCGAAAGUGUGGGGAGC